rnacentral:rRNA from 1 species
AAAAGAAAUUCGGUGCAGGAUGAGUCCGCGUCUGAUUAGCUAGUUGGAGGGGUAAGAGCCCACCAAGGCAACGAUCAGUAGCCGGCCUGAGAGGGCGACCGGCCACAUUGGGACUGAGACACGGCCCAAACUCCUACGGAAGGCAGCAGUGGGGAAUAUUGCACAAUGGGGGAAACCCUGAUGCAGCGACGCCGCGUGAGCGAGGAAGUAUUUCGGUAUGUAAAGCUCUAUCAGCAGGGACGAAAAAAGACGGUACUUGACUAAGAAGCCCCGGCUAACUACGUGCCAGCAGCCGCGGUAAUACGUAGGGGGCAAGCGUUAUCCGGAUUUACUGGGUGUAAAGGGAGCGUAGACGGCAAGGCAAGCCAGAAGUGAAAGGGCAGGGCUCAACCCUGUACAUGCUUUUGGAACUGUGGUGCUAGAGUGCAGGAGAGGUAAGUGGAAUUCCUAGUGUAGCGGUGAAAUGCGUAGAUAUUAGGAGGAACACCAGUGGCGAAGGCGGCUUACUGGACUGUAACUGACGUUGAGGCUCGAAAGCGUGGGGAGCAAACAGGAUUAGAUACCCUGGUAGUCCACGCUGUAAACG